rnacentral:lncRNA from 1 species
GAUGACAAGUCUCUGAGCUUCUCCAGACUCGCGCUUUCACUGUCUUGGCAAGGAUAAGAGAGGGACCCCAGGGACAGUUGAGGCCCGUGGCAAAACCUCGAGGACCCAGGGCUUCCCAACCAUGCUGGGGCGGUCACCCCUCCAGACUGCUUCACUCCCAGGUCACCGGCUGGCCAACUUCUGGAAACAUCACUGGCCCCCCAGAAGCCAGCAGCGGCACCCCCACCCCCAGCCUGGCGGAAGGACUUUCCGGGCUAGAGAAUGGAGGUGCCUGGCUUGGUUUACGAAAGCACAGGUGUCCGGACCUUGAGUCGAAAUAUAAGAGAUUCCAUCCCCACCACACUCCUGGAGGCUCCAGGUACCUUGUUAGUGGGGCCCUGGGGAGUGGGGGUGCAGAAUUUGCAGGGAGCAGGGGGUGGUGAUCUUGGCUGGGUCACCAGAGAGAAUAAAAGCCAAGCGACUAUGCAGCACCCCCUAUUCUUCAUCAACCUUUAGCAUUUCUCUCUUCCCCCUGUCAGUCUCCCAGCUAUCAAGUGUGGACUCGACAGGAAUGUUGCAAGGAAAAACUAAUUAAACUGCAGUACAAUGCUUUGAAAAUAUUAAGUGUCAUGUAAAUGCCUAAUGCUAAUAAUAAUCUUGAUGGUGGUAAUUAUGUGCCAGGAAGCACAUCCCAGACAGCCCAG